GAGGGUACAGCUCAGUGGUAGAGUGUGUGCUUAGCAUGCAUUAGGUCCUGAGUUCGAUCCCCAGUACCUCCG
rnacentral:tRNA from 1 species